rnacentral:rRNA from 1 species
UACAGGGGGGGCAAGCGUUGUUCGGAAUUACUGGGCGUAAAGGGCUCGUAGGUGGCCAACUAAGUCAGACGUGAAAUCCCUCAGCUUAACUGGGGAACUGCGUCUGAUACUGGAUGGCUUGAGUUUGGGAGAGGGAUGCGGAAUUCCAGGCGUAGCGGUGAAAUGCGUAGAUAUCUGGAGGAACACCGGUGGCGAAGGCGGCAUCCUGGACCGGUAUUGGACUCGUGAGCGCGAAAGCCAGGGGAGCAAACGGG